rnacentral:pre_miRNA from 12 species
GCAAAGCCUCUUGGUCGGCCAGUCACAUCCCCUUAUCACUUUUCCAGCCAGCUUUGUGACUCUAAGUGUUGGACGGAGAACUGAUAAGGGUAGGUGACUGACACUGCGUCUGGAACCCCGA